rnacentral:sRNA from 1 species
CCUGGGGCCUUGCCCCAGGCUGUUGUGGAACGCCCCUUCGGGGCU